UGAGAAAUAAGAGGGGUAGGCAGCCCUUUAUAUAGCAAAAAAUACUUACAUUUUUAACACAGGCUGACACGUUAGGCACGUUUAAGUUCAAAAAAUUAAAAUGAUACAAAAUGUCAUCAUGUGAGAUAAAUAUUAAGCUUUAUUAGUGGCUACCUCAUUAAAACCAUCCAUUCCUGGAAAGUAAAAGAGUACAAAGUCACACUCUAGAUUACAUUUUUUUUACAAGAGCAUAAGAAAAUUACAAAAGAAAAAAAGUACA
rnacentral:lncRNA from 1 species